AUUGAACGCUGGCGGCAUGCCUUACACAUGCAAGUCGAACGGUAACGGGUCCUUCGGGAUGCCGACGAGUGGCGAACGGGUGAGUAAUAUAUCGGAACGUGCCCAGUAGUGGGGGAUAACUGCUCGAAAGAGCAGCUAAUACCGCAUACGACCUGAGGGUGAAAGGGGGGGAUCGCAAGACCUCUCGCGAUUGGAGCGGCCGAUAUCAGAUUAGCUAGUUGGUGGGGUAAAGGCCUACCAAGGCAACGAUCUGUAGUUGGUCUGAGAGGACGACCAGCCACACUGGGACUGAGACACGGCCCAGACUCCUACGGGAGGCAGCAGUGGGGAAUUUUGGACAAUGGGCGCAAGCCUGAUCCAGCAAUGCCGCGUGCAGGAAGAAGGCCUUCGGGUUGUAAACUGCUUUUGUCAGGGAAGAAAUCUUCUGGGCUGAUACCCCGGGAGGAUGACGGUACCUGAAGAAUAAGCACCGGCUAACUACGUGCCAGCCGCCGCGGUAA
rnacentral:rRNA from 1 species